AUUUUACUCCUCUUGAAACAUUUUUGGAGGUGUAAAUCAGUGAAUUCUAUUCUACCCCACUUUAAAGCUGAAAAAAGGAACUACAGAGGAAUCCUCAGUUUUGGGACAGGGUUGUUGAGAUGCAAUGGCAGCAGGAUCUCAGCCCUGGGAAAGAUUACAAUCUCAUUAUUAGUCAAGAGGAAGCAGGAAAGGGAAAGGUUGUAACAAAUGAGGUACAAAAGUGAAACAGGAGAUAAUUAUUAAUUGAAUUACUAUUUUAAGGUUUUGUUUUUGUUGCCUGUUAUCAGAUCACUGUGCACUGCAAAGAUGAGUGGGAUCUAUGUUACAAGGAUCUACAUCCUCGCUUUAGAUCUCUGUGUCCUCUCCAUCUCUUGGGUCUUCAGGGUUCUUGCUGUGGAAAUAUCUGUGUGCUUCGUGUCACAUUUCUUCCACAGAAACUGUUCAAACUCUGAGAACAGAAGUGUUCCCUGCACCUGUAUUACAACUUUCCUAUGAAUUUCUUCAUUUAGAAACCAGUUUUUCUGAAAGAAGUGACAGUGCUUGACUUCUACACUGGUGGAAGGAUUUUCUGUUGGGGAAUCCCUUCUCCAUCAUUUCCUUAUUUGAACCUGGAAUGUCUUUAGGACCAGAUGUAAAAGUUUUGAAAUUAAAAGGUAAUAAGAAAUUCAGUGAGACUCCUUCUUAGCCCAGGGAAGAUAAAACUCUUCCUAAGCAGCUAGGAACAGAAAGUGCUUUUUGUGAAAAUAAUACAUGGUAUGGACUAAUAACCCCACCUGUAACACCCACUGUAAAUUCUAUCCACUGCCAGGCUGACACUCCUGGGCUUCCAGCACCUUCUUUCCUUUGUGUCUACCUUAGAUAAGUUUGUUGCCUAUAUUUUCAUAAAGAAUUUAACUAAAUUUUUUUUAUUUCCUU